rnacentral:misc_RNA from 1 species
AACUUUCACUUUUUUUUUUUAUUUAAAAGAAAUUAAGAUAGAAAUGGCUUUAAAGACAGAAUGUAUAACACAUUUCCAACUCAGCUCCCAGUUUCAUCCGUUCACAAUCAUUGAACAACCAAACACAGACUCCUCCUAUCCUAUUAUUUCUUCACUUGCGAAUCGCAACAAAAUAAAAGCUUCAAUUGAAAAUCCAAAAACUCAGCAGUCUAACAACUAAAGCCUACAGUUUCUCAUAUUUUUUCCACUUGCAGAAAACUCAAAUUCAAAUUCAGUAAUAUAUCCUCAAUUUUCUAGGUAUUUGGCAGCAUAAUGAACUAAAAGGAAGGGAAGGGAGGGGAAUCAAGCUGGAGCCAGGGGUUCUUGCCCUUGCGAAGAGCAGAAAUU